CCACUGCAUACUGGCAUAGUCUACAUCUUUGUUGAUGAAUGAGGUGGGAUUGACAUUUGAGGUAAUCGUGUUUACUCCAAAAGUUUCCAAGGUUUGCAAACCUUCAUCCUCUUACUAGAGUUUUCCUGAAAGCUGUGUUGUUUUUGACAUUAGGCAAUACUUGAUAAAAGAACCAAUAGCGAAGUCAAAGUAUUAUGGCUUUAAAAUCCUCAUGAUGCUGAC